GCCGUCCAAGCUCUAGAUGACUGCGCAUUAUACGUCUAACCUCUUUCAUGGACGACCAACAAUAUACGUACAGUCGCUCCGAACGAAAGAAUUGCUAAAAUAUGUGCUGACACUGCGGAGUUUACGGCCACAGCUGUUCGUAUUUAGGCGAGGCAGCUGCGAUACUGGCGUGUGCGUCGACCAAGCGUUUCUCAGCAGGAAGGGAUUAUGUGUUUCUUGAAACUGUUCCUCCCCGAUAAAUACGCCAAGCGCAGGGCAGCGAUGGAGCCUUUCUUCGCCGGCAUAGCCCAACUUCAGUCAGCCCAAGCCAUACCGUCACGCCAUAUGUCCACACAACUGGCCCGCACUGAAGAGACGUCCUUCGGAAAUGCGGCCCCAAAGUGCCAACAGCGGAAACCAAUCAGACGUUGUCCACAUUGCGCCACUGAGAAGAGGACACGAAUGACUUGCAUUGUUUGACCUAUCGAAACCUAUACGAGAAGUCGGCCCAGGACGCACAUUCCCCCAGGGCGUGAGUCGUGACGUUGUCCACAUACGUGAGGCCGACAACGGCAAGCCCUAUCACCACCACCACCACCACCUCAUUAUUUGUUACACCUGAUGCUUUUUCUUGUGAAAAAGCUCUGAAAGCAGUCUAUAGAUGCCGUUCUUUGCAGUUGAGUUAUAUGGCCUUAUAGUUAAAGGAGUCUGCUGCGGGCCGCUCCUGGGACGCGCGGUUUUGGUUUCAGCUCAUUUGCAUAGCGAAAUUCGCCGACGAAUAUUUCGCGGCACGUGCUCUUUCCAGUACUUUUAAAAGAUAGAAUGACUUUCAACGAGGAUUGUCUCCCAUUCGGCGCUACCCCGCUUUUGCCCGUAAUUCCCUAACUGAAGGGUUAUAUAGUUUUAUAUAGUUUUAUUAGCUUGUCCAUAAACAGCGCGAUGGCCUUCCAAUAUGGCACAAUGGUUAGUACAAAACAGAACAGUUAGUUAAUUAAUUAAUGGUAGGUAAUUAUUCAUCCUGCAAUUACAUUCUAUCUUCGACAGGAUGUCUGCUUGGCCGUGUAACUCAACUGCAAAGACAACAUAUAUGCAUGCUCUCGUAGCUUUUUUACAAAAAAUCUGUAAACGAUUUAAAAAAAAAAUAAAGAAAAACGUACUGUGUUUUCAAAGUGCCACAACUCCUUAAAGUCACAGCGAACGUAUAUAAUGAAUAUAUGAUGUGAAAUUUGAGCGGAUCGAAUGAUCCUCGCGGCUUCUUGUUGAUUUUUUGCGAGGUUCUUACGCGGAGACUGAGAUAUUUCAUCGUCUCAGUUCGUGAGUUAUUUGUACCUUAUCAGGCAGACUUGUACGUAUUUGGAGUAUUGUAUUUAAAAUACUGUAUUUUAAAUACAAUUUGCGGUAUUUUGGCACUCUACUCUAAACUUUUUGUUUUGUGUAUUUGUACUCUAUUUAAAAUACAUUUUAUGGUAUUUUCUACUCAAUACUCUAAUUACAUAUUUUGGAUCUCCC